UACGUAGGUGGCAAGCGUUGUCCGGAUUUACUGGGCGUAAAGAGCGCGCAGGCGGUCGUUCAAGUCGCGUGUGAAAGCCCCCGGCUCAACUGGGGAGGGUCACGCGAUACUGAUCGACUCGAAGGCAGGAGAGGGAAGUGGAAUUCCCGGUGUAGUGGUGAAAUGCGUAGAUAUCGGGAGGAACACCAGUGGCGGAAGGCGACUCCUGGCCUGUUCUUGACGCUGAGGCGCGAAAGCUAGGGGAGCAAACGGGG
rnacentral:rRNA from 1 species